rnacentral:tRNA from 1 species
GGCCACGUGGUGAAGUGGUUAACACGGCGGUCUGCAAAACCGCUAUGCGCCGGUUCAACUCCGGCCGUGGCCU